AGAACAUUUUCUUUGAAUGCUUAGGUUAGGAACAUUUUCUCUGAACACUUAGGCUAACCUGUGGAGAUAAGGAGAUCAAGGAUUUGGUGGAACACAUUUUGUAGAACCAUCUUAAAAAUACAGUUGAUAAAAUUUCUAAAUGAAGACCAAGAUAAAGGGAACAAGAUCAGAAAACAUCAUCCUCACAGAAAUUAUUAAGAAUCCACACACCAUGUAUGAAAUGAGCUAAUCCUGGAAGCAUUUCUAGAAUUCAUGGCUGUGCAGGAUGAUUUUGAGGGAAACUCUCCAUUAAAUCCAGAUACCUCUGAAGUCUUAAUCCAAAAGAGUGAUAAUGUGGGGUAUCAGGUACAAUGGCAGGCAGAAGUUUCAAAGUAGAAUGCCUAACAGAACAUCUCAACUAAGAAUAUGAAAGCAACUGCUUACUCUACCUACUUAAAAGGCAGCUACAUUC